rnacentral:rRNA from 1 species
AACGAACGCUGGCGGCAUGCCUAACACAUGCAAGUCGAACGAGACCGUCGUGUCUAUUUGCGCACGUGGGCGGGACGCGGGGUAACCUACCCGUAAGUUCGGAAUAACUCCCCGAAGGGUAUGCUAAUACCGAAUAAGGUCUUCGGACCAAAGAUUUAUCGCCGUUGGAUGGGCCCUCGUUAGAUUAGCUGGUUGGUAGGGUAAUAGCCGACCAAGGCGACGAUCCAUAGCUGGUCUGAGAGGAUGCUCAGCCACACUGGGACUGCGACACGGCCUACAAUCGUAGGGGAGGGAGCAGUGGGGAAUACAGGACGAUGGGCGCUAGUCUGAUACAGCAACGUCGGGUGAGUCAUGCAGGCGUUAGGGUUGCACAGCUGUCUUACACAGGACGAUAAUGACAGUAACGGGAGAAUAAGCUCCGGCUAACUACGUG